GGAACACUAGUCUAUGCGAGGACGUCCCGCUGUUAACGGGAAAGAGGGCGUAUAGCUCGUGUUCUU